UGAGGAAUAUUGGGCAAUGGGCGCAAGCCUGACCCAGCCACGCCGUGUGAGUGAUGAAGGCCUUCGGGUUGUAAAGCUCUGUAAGAGAGGGACGAAAAUCUGAGUUCGAAUAGGACUCGGGAUUGACGGUACCUUUUUAGAAAGCACCGGCUAACUCUGUGCCAGCAGCCGCGGUAAGACAGAGGGUGCGAACGUUGCUCGGAAUCACUGGGCGUAAAGCGCGCGUAGGCGGACCGGAAAGUCGGUUGUGAAAUCCCUGGGCUCAACCCAGGAACUGCAUCCGAAACUCCCGGUCUCGAGUGACGGAGAGGAUAGUGGAAUUCCCGGUGUAGAGGUGAAAUUCGUAGAUAUCGGGAGGAACACCAGUGGCGAAGGCGGCUAUCUGGACGUCCACUGACGCUGAGGCGCGAAAGCGUGGGGAGCAAACAGG
rnacentral:rRNA from 1 species